rnacentral:rRNA from 1 species
GACGAACGCUGGCGGCGUGCUUAACACAUGCAAGUCGAACGGAAAGGCCCUUCGGGGUACUCGAGUGGCGAACGGGUGAGUAACACGUGGGUGAUCUGCCCUGCACUUUGGGAUAAGCCUGGGAAACUGGGUCUAAUACCGAAUAUGAUCAUCGGCUUCAUGGGCGGUUGGGGAAAGCUUUUGCGGUGUGGGAUGGGCCCGCGGCCUAUCAGCUUGUUGGUGGGGUAAUGGCCUACCAAGGCGACGACGGGUAGCCGGCCUGAGAGGGUGACCGGCCACACUGGGACUGAGAUACGGCCCAGACUCCUACGGGAGGCAGCAGUGGGGAAUAUUGCACAAUGGGCGCAAGCCUGAUGCAGCGACGCCGCGUGAGGGAUGACGGCCUUCGGGUUGUAAACCUCUUUCAGCACAGACGAAGCGCAAGUGACGGUAUGUGCAGAAGAAGGACCGGCCAACUACGUGCCAGCAGCCGCAGUAAAAC